rnacentral:rRNA from 1 species
CCUACGGGAGACAGCAGUGGGGAAUAUUGCACAAUGGGGGAAACCCUGAUGCAGCGACGCCGCGUGAGUGAAGAAGUAUUUCGGUACGUAAAGCUCUAUCAGCAGGGAAGAAAAUGACGGUACCUGACUAAGAAGCCCCGGCUAACUACGUGCCAGCAGCCGCGGUAAUACGUAGGGGGCAAGUGUUAUCCGGAUUUACUGGGUGUAAAGGGAGCGUAGACGGCAGCGCAAGUCUGGAGUGAAAUCCCAUGGCUUAACCAUGGAACUGCUUUGGAAACUGUGCAGCUAGAGUGCAGGAGAGGUAAGCGGAAUUCCUAGUGUAGCGGUGAAAUGCGUAGAUAUUAGGAGGAACACCAGUGGCGAAGGCGGCUUACUGGACUGUAACUGACGUUGAGGCUCGAAAGCGUGGGGAGCAAACAGGAUUAGAUACCCCAGUAGUC